rnacentral:lncRNA from 1 species
UGUUUCUGUAUAUGUAAACGUAAUUUAACAUACGACUAUAUAUUUUGGUAUAUAUAUUAUAUACAGGGAAUAGGGAUACUAUAUAGUUGUUCCCAUAUACUCACUAAUCAUUUCAUGUUUGAUUAUCAUUUAUAUUAUAGAAAAAGUUUAUGAUCGUGACCCAAUCUAAAAGUUGAUCAUCACGCCAAUAAAGUCACUGGCGUAUAAAACCUUUUAAUCUUUUUCGUUUGUGUUACAGAAAGAAAGUGACGUUAACAUUUCAUUAACACUCCCAAUUCACUGUCAUGGACCCUAUCUUACAGUUCACUCGCUAGAUUACUUGAGAUUGCGAUUGUUACAUAUUCUGAAUAUCAAUAAAAUUGUAUUGUUUUCGUGCAGAUCAAAAUGGAUAAAUUGCCAGAUUUUUAACUCCACCCACGAAGGAGGCGGAACUCAUGUGGUGACACCAAGACACU